GAUGAACGCUGGCGGCGUGCCUAAUACAUGCAAGUCGAGCGAACAGACGAGGAUCUUGCUCCUCUGACGUUAGCGGCGGACGGGUGAGUAACACGUGGAUAACCUACCUAUAAGACUGGGAUAAUUUCGGGAAACCGGAGCUAAUACCGGAGAAUAUAUUGAACCGCAUGGUUCAAUAGUGAAAGACGGUUUUGCUGUCACUUAUAGAUGGAUCCGCGCCGCAUUAGCUAGUUGGUAAGGUAACGGCUUACCAAGGCAACGAUGCGUAGCCGAGGUGAGAGGGUGAUCGGCCACAUUGGAACUGAGACACGGUCCAUACUCCUACGGGAGGCAGCAGUAGGGAAUCUUCCGCAAUGGGCGAAAGCCUGACGGAGCAACGCCGCGUGAGUGAUGAAGGUCUUCGGAUCGUAAAACUCUGUUAUUAGGGAAGAACAAAUGUGUAAGUAACUAUGCACGUAUUGACGGUAACUAAUCAGAAAGCCACGGCUAACUACGUG
rnacentral:rRNA from 1 species